rfam:Muricauda ruestringensis DSM 13258, complete genome.
AUGGCGGAUUCCGAAAAGCCAGAAUAGAGUAGGAA